rnacentral:rRNA from 1 species
UACGUAGGAGGCGAGCGUUGUCCGGAUUUACUGGGCGUAAAGCGCGCGCAGGCGGCAGUGUAAGUAAGGUGUGAAAUCUCCCCGCUCAACGGGGAGGGUGCACUUUAGACUACACAGCUAGAGGUCGGUAGAGGGGGGUGGAAUUGCUGGUGUAGCGGUGAAAUGCGUAGAGAUCAGCAGGAACACCCGUGGCGAAGGCGGCCCCCUGGGCCGUACCUGACGCUGAGGCGCGAAGGCUAGGGGAGCGAACGGG